rnacentral:rRNA from 1 species
GAUGAACGCUGGCGGCGUGCCUAAUACAUGCAAGUCGAGCGAACAGACGAGGCGCUUACUCCUCUGACGUUUGCGGCGGACGGGUGUGUAACACGUGGAUCACCUACCUAUAUGACUGGGAUAACUUCGGGAAACCGGCGCUAAUACCGGAUAACAUGUUGCACCGCAUGGUUCAACAGUGAAAGUCGGUCUUGCUGUCACUUAUAGCUGGAUCCGCGUCGCAUUAGCUAGUUGGUAAGGUAACGGCUUACCAAGGCAACGAUGCGUAACCGACCGGAGAGGGGGAUCGGCCACACUGGAACGGAGACACGGUCCAUACUCCUACGGGAGGCAGCAGUAGGGAAUCGUCCGCAAUAGUCGAAAGCCUUACGGAGCAGCGCCGCGUGAGUGGAGAAGGUCUUCGGAUCGGAAAACCCUGUUAUUAGGGAAGAACAAAUGUGUAAGUAACUAUACACGUCUUGACGGUACCUAAUCAGAAAGCCACGGCUAACUACGUG